GACCUGAUGGCACAAUGGUUAGUGUGUCUGCUCAACGUAGGGCUUGAAUGCGGUUCUAUAUGCAGAAGGUCCCGGUUCGAAUCCGGGUCAGGUUA